rnacentral:tRNA from 1 species
GGAUAUAGAUCAGUUGGUAGAGUGCUUGCCUUGCAUGCAUAAGGUCCUGGGUUUAAUCCCCAGGACCA